rnacentral:pre_miRNA from 1 species
UAAAUAAUCUCUUCGUCUGAAAAUACUUGUGACAAGAAUGGAUGUAUCUAGAUAUAUUUUAAUUCUAGAUACAUCUAUUUUUAUUCAUUUAUGUGACAAGUAAUCUGAGCGGAGGGUGUAUAAG